AGGCACCCAGAUUACUUUCUCAUUGUGCAGUGCCCCAGACCCCUUUUACCCUGCAAUGCAAAACACUGCAUUUUUGGAGUACAACUCAGCCAGAAGGUCCCUGUAGUGUUAGGAAUGCAGUUUUGUAUUCCUAUCACCAUAGUGCCCCCCUCAAUCUAUUGUUUGGUAUGUAUUCGUAAACACAAACUUUGUUGCUAUAGAUUUUAGCGUAGGUUUUAGAAUUUCCAUUAAGGGCUGACAUUAGGAUCAUUGUUUUUUUUUGCAUUAAUGUUUAUGAUUUUCUGGCUUUAUGAAAU